rnacentral:rRNA from 1 species
AUUGAACGCUAGCGGGAUGCCUUACACAUGCAAGUCGAACGGAUUGGCGCACGGGUGAGUAAUGUUUCGGAACGUGCCCAGUCGCGGGGGAUGACUACGCGAAAGCGUAGCUAAUCCCGCUUACUCUUGGUACGGCCGAUUUCGGAUUAGCUGGUUGGGGGGGUAAAGGCUCACCAAUGCGACGAUCCGUAGCUGGUUUGAGAGGACGACCAGCCACACUGGGACUGAGACACGGACCAGACUCCUGCGGGAGGCAGCAGUGGGGAAUUUUGGACAAUGGGGGAAACCCUGAGCCAGCCAUCCCGCGUGGGCGAUGAAGGCCUUCGGGUUGUAAAGCACUGUUGGCAGGAAAGCGGUAACUGAAGAAUAAGCACCGGCUAACUACGUGCCAGCAGACGCGGUAAUAC